UAUAUAUAUAUGUAUAUAGAGAGAGAGAGAGAGAGAGAGAGUAGGGCUACUAUACUUAUUAGAGUAUAGAGCAAUUCGUACUCAUAAAUUGUUUUCGAUGAUGGAGCUUCUAAAUCGCCGAUCCAUUUGUUAAAUAUGAUCUAGAGUAUUUGUAACUAUUAAAAAAUAAAUUUUGUAAUUUUUUGAAAUCAUAUAAUAAAUUCUAUCAAGCGGGCAUAAAAUGAACAAUUAAAAUCGAACGACCUCCUAAAAAUGAAUUAUCGGAUCUUUAAAUUUAAAAUCUAAGUUAUUGAUCUUUAUCUAGAAAGUGAAUAAAAUUUAUAUCAAAAAUUCAACCUAUUUCAAUUUUUUUGCACCGCUAAACUAGCAAGUAUCUCAUAUUGGCCAUUAAAAAUUAUCAAUUUUGUGACAUUUUGAUCAUAAGGCAAAUGAUGUCGAAAUAUUAUUAAAUUUGAUUUCUAACCGUUUUAAAUGCUCUAGAUACAGCCGAUUCGGAAGCUCUAUCAUCGAAAAUGACUUAUGAGUACGAGAGUGAUCAUACUCAUAAGAGUAUAGUGGCCUGACUUUAUAUAUAUAAUUGAGCUCCUCUAUUUUUAAAAGUACCGAAUUAUUAGUGUUUGUAGAUUUUUGGUCUUUAAAUUACGGGAUGUGCACUUAGAAUAAUAGUAGUUUCCUAAGAGUUGAGUGAGUAUGUGGUUCGUUGAAUAAUAUGAUUUAGUGGAUAAAAAUAAUCAAAAGAAUAGAGCUAAUGGUAAAAAACUUACAAGUACCAAGUACUUAAUGUUUCUAAAAACACCAUAGCCUAACUAUAUAUAUAGAGUGAGGCUACCAUGCUUCUGGAAGUACGGAGCCUUCCGUGCUUCCAGGUCGUUUUCAAUGUUGCGACUUUCGAAUCGUCGAUCGGUUCCGUUAAACUUGAUCUAGAGUAUUUGAAAUACUUAGCAAAUAAAUUUUAUGAUUUUUUGAAAUCAUUUGCCUAGUGAUCGAAGGGACUCAAAAUCAAUAAUUUUAAUGGCCGUGGUGAGCCGUUUGCAAGUUUAACGGUGUAGAAAUAUCCAAAUCACGUGAAAUUUUGAUAGAAAAUUCUUUAUACUAUAUAAAACAAGAUCAAUAUCUUUGAUCUAAAAUUUUAAUGUCAUAUUAUCACGUUUUGUAAAAUUUUUAUUUUCAGCUGUUGAUUUUGAGCCCCUUAGUUCACUAGGUAAAUGAUAUCGAAAAAUUGCAAAAUUUAUUUUCUAGGUAUUUCAAAUACUCUAGAUCAAGUUUAAUAGAGCCAAUCAACGAUUCGAAAGUCGCAACAUCAAAAACGACCUGUAAGCACCCUGAAAGCACGAAAGGCUCCGUGCUUCCAGAAACAUAGUAGCCUCACUCUAUAUAUAUUAACGAUAGAUUUACUUUAUUACUCAAUCCUACUGCUUUAUUAUCAUAACCAGAAGAAAAAUAAAAAAAAAAU
rnacentral:lncRNA from 1 species